UAAGGAAUAUUGGGCAAUGGACGCAAGUCUGACCCAGCCAUGCCGCGUGAAGGAUGACUGCCCUAUGGGUUGUAAACUUCUUUUGUACGGGAAAAAACUCUCGGUCGUGCACCGGGACUGAUGGUACCGUGCGAAUAAGCAUCGGCUAACUCCGUGCCAGCAGCCGCGGUAAUACGGAGGAUGCAAGCGUUAUCCGGAUUCAUUGGGUUUAAAGGGUGCGCAGGCGGAAUAGUAAGUCAGUGGUGAAAUCUUCCGGCUUAACCGGGAAACUGCCAUUGAUACUGCUGUUCUUGAGUAUAGUUGAAGUGGGCGGAAUGUGUCAUGUAGCGGUGAAAUGCUUAGAUAUGACACAGAACACCGAUAGCGAAGGCAGCUCACUAAGCUGUAACUGACGCUCAUGCACGAAAGCGUGGGGAUCAAACAGG
rnacentral:rRNA from 1 species